rnacentral:rRNA from 1 species
AUGCCCCUGCUCGCCUCCGGCAAAGAAUCACCGUGGAUCUCGGCGGACUCCCUGAGCUGCGGCUGGUCAAGUACGCCCGAUUCAGCCCGGAUCUCCUUCCGGAUCGUAGGAAUCAGCCCCAAAAGCUUUGACCGAAUUUGUCCCCGCCGACCAGGACGCACAUGCGUCUGCCCCUUAUUUCUGAAGGCUGCAAUCAUGUCUGACAUGGCCAGCUGCGAUGGGGAUGAACACCCUGAAGGAGUUCUACCACACCGAGCCGGACAAUCGGGUGGCGGGGUUGAAGGACAGGCGCCACCGGCGCCAACUUCUAGAAUUUCAGUUAAGAGAGCUGUUGAAGUAAUUCAAUCAUUUGAUGAUUACAAGAGGUGGUUGGUAACUGAAAUAGGGUUUGGUGGUAUGCUGAAGCUCCCUGCCAUACUGAAAAUAAACCUUAAAUUCAGUGCAUGGGUAAUGAGUAAAGUCAGUGUUAAGCGCCAUGCUAUUAUACUGUCAGGCACGAAGAUUCUGAAGUUUUGGGCAGAUGAUGUGCACAAGGUUUUCGGAAUCCCAUGCGGUCACCGUAAUGUACGAGGACGUGAUGGUUUUAUAAACCCUGAGGCCAUACAGUACAUAAAAAACACACUUGGGAUGGACAAGACAGGGGCGCACAGUCUCGAGGCAGCAGAGCAAUUCCUUCUCAGGGACAUAAGUGAAUCAUCUAGCAAGCUUGAGAAGGAUUGCUUUCAGAUUGCAUUCGUCAUUUUCGUAAUGGGUCAUGUUUUGGCGCCAACAACCAAACAUGACUAUGGCACGAUAGAAUAUUGGGGUGCACUUGCUGAUACGGAAAGUAUAUCACAGUUCAACUGGUGCGAGUAUGUUCUUGAGUGUCUGAUGGAGGCAGUCCGUCGGCUAAAGAAUGACAUGAUGGCAGGCAACAUGUAUACUAAUUUGGUUGGUUGCCACUUGUGGUAA